GAUGAACGCUGGCGGCGUGCUUAAUACAUGCAAGUCGAGCGAACAGACGAGGAGCUUGCUCCUCUGACGUUAGCGGCGGACGGGUGAGUAACACGUGGAUAACCUACCUAUAAGACUGGGAUAACUUCGGGAAACCGGAGCUAAUACCGGAUAAUAUAUUGAACCGCAUGGUUCAAUAGUGAAAGACGGUUUUGCUGUCACUUAUAGAUGGAUCCGCGCCGCAUUAGCUAGUUGGUAAGGUAACGGCUUACCAAGGCAACGAUGCGUAGCCGACCUGAGAGGGUGAUCGGCCACACUGGAACUGAGACACGGUCCAGACUCCUACGGGAGGCAGCAGUAGGGAAUCUUCCGCAAUGGGCGAAAGCUUGACGGAGCAACGCCGCGUGAGUGAUGAAGGUCUUCGGAUCGUAAAACUCUGUUAUUAGGGAAGAACAAAUGUGUAAGUAACUAUGCACGUCUGGACGGUACCUAAGCAGAAAGCCACGGCUAACUACGU
rnacentral:rRNA from 1 species